CGCGUGGGGGAGGGCUCUUGGGUUGUAAACCCCUUUUCUCUGGGAAGAACCGAUGACGGUACCAGAGGAAUCAGCAUCGGCUAACUCCGUGCCAGCAGCCGCGGUAAGACGGAGGAUGCAAGCGUUAUCCGGAAUGAUUGGGCGUAAAGCGUCCGCAGGUGGCAGUUCAAGUCUGCUGUCAAAGACCGGGGCUCAACCUCGGAAAGGCAGUGGAAACUGAACAGCUAGAGUAUGGUAGGGGCAGAGGGAAUUCCCGGUGUAGCGGUGAAAUGCGUAGAGAUCGGGAAGAACAUCGGUGGCGAAGGCGCUCUGCUGGACCAUAACUGACACUCAGGGACGAAAGCUAGGGGAGCGAAUGGGAUUAGAUACCCCCCGUAAACGAUGGAUACUAGGUGUU
rnacentral:rRNA from 1 species